CCAUUACCAAUCUUCUUGGGCUGC
rnacentral:siRNA from 1 species